GGGGAUGUAUCUCAAGGCUAGACUAUUUGCCUAGUAUACAAGAAGUCUUGGGUUUGAUUCCCAUCAUUGCCA
rnacentral:tRNA from 1 species